CUGCUAUAAAUGGUCAGUUGUUAAAUUUCCACUUGCCUUUAGAAAUAAGCGAGCACAGUCUGACUGUACACAUAAUGACGUGGCUGUAUUGUGCUCUGAAUGUUUUUUUGCUCUGCAGUCUACAGCAGACACACACAGGGACCAAACAGGCCAACAACCUGCUGGGGGAGCAUCUGCACAUAGCGGUGAGAAAACAGGAGAUAUGAUUACCAACAUGUGCUGAUGGACAUGAAGCAAAGAUGUCAUCUGUUAACAGGUGUUGUGAUGCAUGUGUUUAAUGGAAUCCUUCUUGUGUUUGCAGUCAGAGAGCCUGAGCAGUGAGAGGAGGUUCCUGUUAAACAGAGUUUCUCAGCUGAACUCAGAGCUGGAGGAAGCACACAGGACCAUUGCAGCGUUGCAGAACAUUAAUGUGCCGUGCUUGAUAAAGGAGCUGCUGGAGAAGCACUUUGACUCAUCAGAGGCCGUGCAUAACUUCCUCUCAGCCUCUGUGGCCAAUAACCUCUGUGCCGUCCCCACUCCCACCGACAGCCAACCUCUGAGCCACUGGCUGACAGAGUCUGAAGCAGCUCCUCCAAGAGUCACUGCCUUCCUUCCAUUCAAACAGCCAACAGCACAAAUCGUCACAGCCAAGAGCGAGGCGAGUCGCAGCCCACCCCUGUCUGUGGCUGACAUUAGUACAGCCAUUUAUAACAAAAUGGCUGCCAGCUAUGCCACUAGGCCACAGCCACUUUAUCCACAAAGCCAACAACAGCAACAGCAACUCCCCCUGAGCACUAACCUCCCUCACAUCUCACCUAGGGUGACCCACGUGGCUGGUGACUGCUGGGGUGGGAAGGAAGGGUCGAAGGUGACCCUUUUGGAGCAGGAUAUAAAGGUAAACUCAGUCUCAGCUCAGCAGAUCCUUGAUGGGUUUCUGCAGCAUCUACAGGAUCACACAGAGGCAGGGGAAGGGGCAAAUAGGCCGGGGGGGGCAGGGGUGGGAACAAACAAGGAAAGUGCUUGACUGAAAACAGAAUAACUGUGUAUUUAGUGAGAGAUGAGUCUAUUAGGUGACCUGACCAAAUCCCAAAUACCUUUAUUAAAAAAUGGACAAAAUCAUAGUCCCAUGUAUAGAUUUGUUCAAUUAAUGUGUCUCAUCAAUAUUGGGGAGAUUCAACACCCAAAUUGUUGGAGAUAAGGUUUAUGUUUAGAAGUGAUUUAAGUUUUACUUGAUGGAUUGUGAAAUGUAUUAGUUAGCAAAGAAAUAAUGUUGGAAAAAGACCUGAGGCAAGGGUUCCAGGCAUGUAUGACAAAGUGAAGCUCCUGUUGCGUGUUUCCAGUCUCACAUGUAAAGUUUUUUGUUUUACAUAAUGCAAUUUACAAUCAGACUAAACCUAG
rnacentral:lncRNA from 1 species